rnacentral:lncRNA from 1 species
GUUGUGUACCAGCCAGGGAGCACACUGAAAAUAAAAAGGAAGGGUCACAGGUAGGAAAAAAUUCCAGGACACCCAGGUCUGACUGAGGACUUCAACUUUGGGGGGUUUUGCAUUGUGUCUUUUGCUAGGACACAAAAUUGCUAAUCGUUUAUCCUGCUUCUUUAGCAACAAUAAGGUGUGUGUGACCUCAGCCUGGUCAAUCAGAAAAGCUCAAUUCUUUGGUCAUGUGGAUUAGUCUAAGAGAAGAGCACAUGACUUACCCAGUCUAAUCAGUCUUCUCUUAGGUGUUUACACACUAAAGGAGACUGAGAAGUCCUGUCUGGGUUGGUUGGUUGGUUUGCACUACUGGGGAUUGAACCCAGGAGUGCUCUAUCACUGAGCUAGCCCUAUUUUAUUUAUUUACUUUUAAAACAGGAUCUUGUUAAAUUAUCCGAAUGGCCUUGAAUUUACAGUCCUUUAGUCUCAAUCUCACAGGUAGCUGGGAUUACAGAUGUGUACACCAUACCUAGUCACAAAAUUUGUGUGUGUGUAUUGUUUUGUUUUUGUGGUGCUGGGGAUUGAACCUGAAACUUUGCACAUGCUAGGGAAGUGUUCUACCAAUGAGCUAGACCUCCAGCCCAUAUGAUUUUUUAGUUCACAAAGUUGGAACUUAAAUACUGAAGUCAUAUUUCUUCUUCCUUAACAGUGAGGAGUAAGCCUGUCUAUAAAGCAAGCGAUCAUAAUUACAGCCCCUAAAGAGAAGAAUGUGAGUAGAAGAUUGGAAACAAAGUUCUGGUGCUCUCCAGCACAUCUCAGGAUCCUUUGGCAUGUUGCAUGGUCUGCGGAGGUUCCCACUGGAUACCCAACCUGCCAUCAACCCAGUUUAAUGCAAACUGUGGUGCCCUUGGAAUAUGACGUGAAUGGCAUCCCCUGGAGAUGAACAGAACACAUUCCACAUGACCACACGUGGGAGCCCUGAUUACAGAUGAGAAACUAAGACUCAGAGGUAAAAUGACUUGUCCAAAGUUAUAUAGACAAGGUCUAAAGACUUCAGAGCCCAGGUUCUGAUACACCACCAUCUUGUGGCUCACUCCUAAGGCAUUGCAUAGGCCAGAAAGGAGGUGGCACUCAUCACUUCACCUGACCUCCAUGAGUAGGAGCCAUUAUACUCUGGGUAGCACCUCUGUGUCCUGGACACAUUGGGGGCCCUUGUUGGUCUAGUCAUGAAACUCUGGAUUCCUGUGAGUGAAUUCAUCCUAUAAAUGAGGGAUCAGUAAUGAAAAAGGAAGGUUUAGUGACAUCUGUGGCUUUUGUCAGACAAGCAACAUUCUCCUUCUGGCAAUAGAAUCCCAAGUUAGCUUUGGAGACCUACUCUCCCUCAAUGGAUACAAUCUUUAUGAGACUGUCCAUUAAAAAGUCUCACAUUCCCUAGUCAGAAAGCAGACAUAUGAUUCUAAGGUUUUUGUAUCUUAUUCUUUGGAGGGUCUGGUUCAUCACAUUUUCAUCUAAUUUAUGUAGGGGUGUGUGUGUGUGUGUGUGUGUGUGUGUGUGUAGCAGGGACUGUAGUGUCCUAUCCAUAAACACUUACCACUAUUUCUGAGCAUAACUAUUGCUUCCAUCCGCAGCCCCUACAGUUCUUUGCCUAGAAGUUGACUCUGGAUGCCCAGAGACAUGAAAGGGACAGGCCAAUAGUGCCA